UCGCCACGCCGCUCCGGUCCUAGACCACCGGCAAUCCGGCAUUUGUUUCAAAUUUUCUACGACAAUUUCGUUAUUCGUCGUUCGACGAUCCCGGAAACAUCUCUAAAGAGAAUUUCUUGAGAAAACACCAAUCGCAUACAUAUACGGCAUAAUAUUAAAUGCGCACCAAGCCGGAUGGACAUAUUAUAACCAUGCCUACGCGUUUCUACGCACAAUACUAAAAUGAACGAUCCUGAGACUGUCGUAGUACCCGCAUGUGUUGUCUUGGUCUUACUAACGCUUAACAUACCAAAACUUAUUUAGUAUCUUCAACUUUAUGUUGUAAGCUUAAAUAUUAGAGUGAACUCGGCUAUUAUAAAACUUAAAGAUGCAGUUUUGUUUACCAUUUUCAAGUUUGGUGGUGGAAACAUAUACAUUGUUUACUAUUAUAGAGAAUUAAAUCUCUAUAGCUCAAGACCAGUUAAAUAAAAAAUAUGAGUGCUUAAACAUGUGUUAUGAAUAAAAAACGAUUGGUUAUUAUAAACAUUUUGUGAUCAAAAUGUAUCGGAGUCGGUGAAUUGCGUUCCCCAAAAAAGGGCAUAUUCAUCUACUAUGUAAAUUGCGGCCCAUGUACUCUUAAAACAUACGUAAAUUGCGUCCCGGUUAUAUUUGGAAUGUACGUACACUGCGGUCAGGAAUAUUCCGAUUUCCAGUCGACUGUACAAUUUAAUUAUAAGUAUUAAUUUUUGAUUGAUAAUAUGUACAUUAUGAAAAGCGUAAGUAAUAAAACUUUGAAAAAUAGUUGACGGUUUCAAACUUCGUUAUUAAAAAUUGCUAAAAAAUGAUAUUUAACGUUGGUGUUGCACACUUACAACAAAUUUCGAAACAAAUAAUAAAUCGACAGAAACUUGACAAUUUAAAAAAAAAAAAACCGUCGAUGUUUACCGGGCCAUCUAAAAUUAUUCAUUCUGAAUUAAAAAAUGCUUAGAUGUAACUUACAUAUGAAUAAAAAGUAUUUAGGUAAGCAUACAUAUAAAAUUAUACCCGGGCCACAAUUUACAUAAAAAAUUAAAAAUAGGGCGCAAUUUACAGCGACCCAAAUGUAUAAAGGUUCCGGGAUUUUGUUUAAAGAGGCCAACCGUACUAAUUGGUACUUAUUUCAGUAUCGCACAAAUAAUUUUCAUGCGCUGGCUUAAAAAUCAAACGCCAACCAACCAAUAUGAGUACAUAUGUGCUAUUAAGAGGAUGCUGAAGCAUCCCUAGGCUCUAAUUUGGCACCCCAGUUCAAACACAUCAACAAUUAAAAAAUGGCCAAUUUUCUUAGAUACUGGACUACGUCACACGAUGAUCAAUCAUUAAGUUUUGUUUGGAUUUUUCGAAAAUAAACAUAAAUUAUUACAGUGGAAAAUGUUACUAUAAUAAGUUCAACCGUACUGUUCGUACUUAUUUCAAUAUCGCACGAAUAGCUAACGUGCAGUGGAAUAAAAAUGAAAUAAAACCACCAACCAACAAGUACACGUAGUCAAAGAAUCGAAAAAAACGCAAUCAAGCCAUGCGAAGCAGUACACAUAACGCGCGGCGAAAAUUUAAAAAAAUAACAGUGAAGUGCCUCUUCACACAAGCCAGACGCUUCGGAUCGCCCCAUACAUAGUAUUCAUAUAUACAGUUUCGAUUGAGACGAUCACCGGCGGUCCGCGCGUUCAUUGAUUGAUGGCCUGCGACCAGGAAUGCAUGUCAGCGGCGUUCAACUGGAAUUCGCUGAACGCAGCGGCGUCGUCGACAUCGUUGUUGUUGUUGUUGGUCUCCGCGCCGCCGCCGCCGCCGCAGUAUGCCGAGUC
rnacentral:lncRNA from 1 species